AUUGAACGCUGGCGGCAGGCCUAACACAUGCAAGUCGAGCGAGCGGCGGACGGGUGAGUAAUGUAUGGGGACUGCCCGAUAGCGGGGGAUAACUACUGGAAACGGUGGCUAAUAACGCAUACUAUCGGAUAACCCAUAUGGGAUUAGCUAGUAGGUGGGGUAAAGGCUCACCAAGGCGACGAGCUCUAGCUGGUAUGAGAGGAUGAUCAGCCAUCAUGGGACUGAGACACGGCCCAUACUCCUACGGAGGCAGAAGUGGGGAAGAUUGGACAAUGGGCGCAAGCCUGAGGCAGCCAUGCCGCGUGUAUGAAGAAGGCCUUAGGGUUGUAAAGUACUUUCAGCGGGGAGGCGUUACCCGCAGAAGAAGCACCGGCUAACUCCGUGCCAGCAGCCGCGGUAAUUC
rnacentral:rRNA from 1 species